rnacentral:rRNA from 1 species
CAGCAGCCGCGGUAAUACGGAAGGUCCAGGCGUUAUCCGGAUUUAUUGGGUUUAAAGGGAGCGUAGGCCGGAGAUUAAGUGUGUUGUGAAAUGUAGGUGCUCAACAUCUGCACUGCAGCGCAUACUGGUUUCCUUGAGUACACACAAUGUUGGCUGAAUUCGUCGUGUAGCGGUGAAAUGCUUAGAUAUGACGAAGAACUCCGAUUGCGAAGGCAGCUGACGGGAGUGCAACUGACGCUGAAGCUCGAAAGUGCGGGUAUCGAACAGGAUUAGAUACCCUGGUAGUCCGCACGGUAAACGAUGGAUGCCCGCUAUUCGGCCGAAUGGUUGAGUGGCCAAGCGAAAGCAUUAAGCAUCCCACCUGGGGAGUACGCUGGCAACGGUGAAACUCAAAUGAAUUGACGG